GCAGGGGGAGCAAGAUGAAGUCACAGACCCAGGUCCUCAUAUCCCUGCUGCUUUGGGUGUCUGGUGCCUGUGCAGACAUUGUGAUGACCCAGUCUCCAUCCUCCCUGGCUGUGUCAGCAGGAGAGAAGGUCUCCAUCAGCUGCAGGUCCAGUCAGAGCCUUUAUUACAGCAGCAACCAAAAGAACUACUUGUCCUGGUACCAGCAAAAGCCAGGGAAAUCCCCUAAGCUGCUGAUCUACUGGGCAUCCACUCGGUACACUGGGGUCCCUGAUCGCUUCACAGGCAGUGGAUCUGGGACAGAUUUCACUCUCACCAUCAGCAGUGUGCAGGAUGAAGACCUGGCAGUUUAUUUCUGUAUGCAGAGUGUUAGUACUCCUCCCACAGUGCUUCAGGAAAGGGAUUCAGGAGACAUCUGGGAUUUCUGGAAGGCCACAUAG